GGCGAUAUGGCCGAGUUGGUCUAAGGCGUGAGACUAAGGUGUAUGUCUAAUCUCAUCUCUUCGGGGGCGUGGGUUCAAAUCCCACUGUCGUCA
rnacentral:tRNA from 1 species